UCUUCCUUCCUCGUCCCCGGCGUCACACACACCCUCUCCUCUGUUUCCUCUGCAGGAAACAGAGGUAUCACAACCUCUUUCUCUUCCUCUUCUUCUUCUUCUCCUCUUCGAACGCCCCACACCUCUCCUCUGUUUCCCGCUGCGGGAAACAGAGGUGCUGCAGCCCUAGCUGCUGCCACCUCUCGCUCCUCUCCCUCUUCCCUCUCUUUUCCCUCUUCUUCUCCUUCUCUUCUUCUCCUCUUCCCUUUUUCCUCCCCAACGCCACACACCUCCUCGCUGCAGCCUUGCCGCAGCUAUCCUCCUCUCUUCUUCUUCUUCUUCUUCUUCUUCUUCUCUUCUCCCUCUUCUUCCUCUCUUCUUCUCCCCACGCCCCACCGCUCUUCUCUCUGUUUCUCGAAGAAACAGAGAGCGUGGGAGGCGGUGGGAUAAAACCGAAUUUUCGGUUUUCUUUAUUUUUUUCUUUUUUUUUUUCAACUUAACAGAUUAGUCCUUGAAAUUUCUAUAUUUACAAAUAGG
rnacentral:lncRNA from 1 species